AUUGAACGCUGGCGGCAGGCCUAACACAUGCAAGUCGAGCGAGCGGCGGACUGGUGAGUAAUGUAUGGGGACUGCCCGAUAGAGGGGGAUAACUACUGGAAACGGUAGCUAAUACCGCAUACUAUCGGAUAACCCAUAUGGGAUUAGCUAGUAGGUGAGGUAAUGGCUCACCUAGGCGACGAUCCCUAGCUGGUCUGAGAGGAUGAUCAGCCAAACUGGGACGGAGACACGGCCCGGACGCCUACGGAGGCAGCAGUGGGGAAUAUUGCACAAUGGGCGCAAGCCUGAUGCAGCCAUGCCGCGUGUAUGAAGAAGGCCCUAGGUGUGUAAAGUACUUUCAGUCGGGAGGCGUUACCGACAGAAGAAGCACCUGCAAACUCCGUGCAAGCCGCCGCGGUAAUAC
rnacentral:rRNA from 1 species